UAAUUUAGGGGCGCAGUACUAGAUAUUCACUGUUUUUCCUUCAACUGAGAUUGAUCAUGGCGGCCUACGCAGCCUUGGUUUCUCUCAUGCAUAUCAUCGAUAAAAUCGCGCAUCAUCCUUCCCCUCCAAUUUUUAUCCACAAACAACAAGCUGAAUCUCUCAAUGAAAUUAUCACCUUCUUGCAGGAAUUUCUCGAAGCCUAUUACCCCCCUUUUAGCUGCAGCGAUGAAGCAGAUCCGUUGGAGAUGCGUAUUGCAGAUGCAGCUUAUGCAGCUGAAGAUGCUAUUGAAUCACAUAUUGUGGACGUGAUUAAACUGUGUAGAUCUAGUUCCAGUGUAGUCAAUUCUAGAGACGAAGUCAGUUCCAUUCAAAAUCUAUAACAAGUGAUGGAAGAAAUGAAAUCCCUAACUCAAAUUGUUACCUUCUUGCAGGAAUUUCUAGAAGGCUCCCUUUCCGGCUACUGCGAUGAAGCAGAUCCGUUGGAGAUGCCUAUUGUAGAUGCAGCUCGUGCGGCUGAAGAAGUGAAUUCUGGAGAGGAAGUCAGUUGCAUCGACUUCUAUCGAGAUCUGCAACAAGUGAUAGAAGAAAUGAAUGUGAUCAAGAAAGAAGCCAUGGAGACUUCAGCUGAAGCUCAGAUGCAAAGAAAGGUCUCCUCGACUCAUGCUGGCUCCUUCACGUCCUCUUCCACUGUGAAGGAAAGCGUGAUGGUGGGCUUUGAUGAUGUGAAACUUCAACUCUUGGAUAAGCUCGUUGGAGGGCACCGCAGUCGCCAAAUCAUCCCUAUUAUAGGGAUGGGCGGGAUUGGUAAGACCACUCUUGCCCGGAAUAUAUUUGAGCAUGCGCUUGUGAAGGAGCAUUUUGAUCUUCGUUCUUGGGUUACAAUUUCUGAAACUUAUAAUGUUAGCGAAACACUUAGACAAGUUCUUUACCAAGUAGGUGGGGGUUCGGGUAGUGAGAACGAAUUGGGAGUGAAAUUACAUAAGCAUUUAUUUGGUAGGAGGUAUCUCAUAAUACUGGAUGAUAUGUGGGAUGUAGAGGCGUGGGACCAGAUGAGGGUUUCCUUUCCUGAUAACAAUAAUGGGAGUCGAGUGAUCGUAACAACUAGGCAAUGGAAAUUGGCUGCCGUGUUGACAGACUCUAACACCAUUGGUAUGAGACUUUUAGAUGGUGUUAGUAGCUGGAAUUUGUUCUCCAAAACUGUAUUUGGAGAACAAAGUUUCCCUCCUCAAUUCGAGGAGAUUGGAAAGAAAAUUGUGAAAAAGUGUAAUGGACUUCCUUUGUCCAUUGCUGUGAUUGGGGGUCUUUUGGCGAAGUCGGAACUUACACUGGAAUAUUGGGAGCACAUAGGGAAAAACUUAAUCUCAAUAGUGAAUUCAGAGAAUGAUGAGUAUUACUUGAGAGCAUUGAAACUAAGCUAUGACCAUUUGCCUGCCUAUCUGAAGCCUUGUUUUUUGUAUAUGGGAGUGCUUGAGGAAGAUCGUGUCGUUAAAGUCUCAACACUCGUCGAGCUAUGGGUUUCUGAAGGAUUUCUUAAACCGAUAAUCAAUAAAAGCUUGGAAACAGUUGCCGACGAUUAUCUCAAGGAGCUAGUUGAGAGAAACCUCAUUCUUGUUCAUGAGUUGGGGUCACUUGGGAAUAUAAAGCGCUGCAAAAUGCAUGAUCUACUGAGAGAUCUAUCUUUGAAAGAGGCUCAAAAGCAGAGGUUUUAUUAUGUCUUAAGACAGCGUUGUCCUCGAGGCAUAGAUAGCCAACGCCGCAUUGUUAUUCCCGAAAGUACUUCAAAUAAAAGAGUUUGUAAUACCUUGGAACCUAUGCCACUUGUUCGUUCUUGUGUAUGUGGUAGUCAUCAAGUUCCGCAGUUUCUAAAUUGUAGAUUGUUUAGGACACUGGCUAUAUGUGCGGAUCCAGAUGAGUAUUACUUACAAGGUAUAUUUCAAUUGGUGAACUUGAGGUACCUUUACUUUCGAUUUCGUGAGAGCUUCCAAAUCCCUUCUUCAAUCACUAUGUUCUGGAAUCUACAUACACUAAUUGUAGAUUAUCGAAAUUUUCUUAGCGUACCAAUAGAAAUUUGGAAAAUGCAUCAGCUUAAGCAUGCCGUAUUUUAUGGGAUGUAUCUCCCAGAUCCUCCGAGCAGCCAUAGUGAUGAUAUCGUUAUCAUGGAGAAUCUAGAGAUGCUCAAACGAGUGAUCGAUUUCAACUUGAAUGAAGAAGUGGUUAAAAGGAUUCCCAAUAUCAAGAAAUUGGAAAUAAGUUACUUGACAAAACUGAUGGACAGAUUGAAGUGCCUCAGCUAUCUUCAAUGUCUGAGUAAGCUGGAAAACUUGAGGUGCUAUACUGAUGAUGAAAGUGAUGAGUAUCUGCAGAGUAUCACCUUCCCACACUCACUUAGGAAGCUGUAUCUUCGAUGCGGAAAGUUCCCUUUGGAGGAAGUUCUGGAAAAGAUAGGUUCGUUACCACUACUUGAGAAGCUCACAUUGGGUUAUGGGCAGUUUGCAACACGCAGUUGGGAAAUAGUUGAAGGCCAAUUCCCCUGCCUCAAAUACAUGAGAUUGUAUUUAUGUGCGGAUAUGGAACGUUGGACGUUAGAGGGCUCCUGCUUGCCGCGCCUUGAGCAACUUCAUCUCUCAUCCAUGAAGUCAUUGGAGGAGUUCCCUUUAGAAAUUGGAGAAAUACCAACACUCAGAUCAAUUGGAUUGUAUGACUGCAGUGAAUCAAUGGCUAUGUCUUUGAAAACGAUAGUAGAGGAACAAGAGGACUUACAAGGGGACCUAUCCUUUCAUGUUCAAGUUACGUCACGCGACGUCAGCCAAGAACUACAAAGCUCGGCAACUCCCAACUUUCGUGUAAUCAAAUCUAAUUAAACUACUUGUAGUUUGAUUACUGUUUUGAGUUAUUCAGUUGUGGGAUUACUAUCUUUGAGUGGUUAAUGUUCUAUAUCUCUCUCUCUUCCUUCUUCUAAGUGCCGGAUUAUGGUUUCUUUUCAUUUUAGUGGGAUUACUAUUUUGAGUGGUUAAUGUUCUAUUCAGUUGUGGGAUUACUGUUUUGAGUGGUUAAUGUACUAUUUUAAGCUUCAACUUUUAAUA
rnacentral:lncRNA from 1 species